GAUGAACGCUGGCGGCGUGCCUAAUACAUGCAAGUCGAGCGAACGGACGAGAAGCUUGCUUCUCUGAUGUUAGCGGCGGACGGGUGAGUAACACGUGGAUAACCUACCUAUAAGACUGGGAUAACUUCGGGAAACCGGAGCUAAUACCGGAUAAUAUUUUGAACCGCAUGGUUCAAAAGUGAAAGACGGUCUUGCUGUCACUUAUAGAUGGAUCCGCGCUGCAUUAGCUAGUUGGUAAGGUAACGGCUUACCAAGGCAACGAUGCAUAGCCGACCUGAGAGGGUGAUCGGCCACACUGGAACUGAGACACGGUCCAGACUCCUACGGGAGGCAGCAGUAGGGAAUCUUCCGCAAUGGGCGAAAGCCUGACGGAGCAACGCCGCGUGAGUGAUGAAGGUCUUCGGAUCGUAAAACUCUGUUAUUAGGGAAGAACAUAUGUGUAAGUAACUGUGCACAUCUUGACGGUACCUAAUCAGAAAGCCACGGCUAACUACGUGCCAGCAGCCGCGGUAAUACGUAGGUGGCAAGCGUUAUCCGGAAUUAUUGGGCGUAAAGCGCGCGUAGGCGGUUUUUUAAGUCUGAUGUGAAAGCCCACGGCUCAACCGUGGAGGGUCAUUGGAAACUGGAAAACUUGAGUGCAGAAGAGGAAAGUGGAAUUCCAUGUGUAGCGGUGAAAUGCGCAGAGAUAUGGAGGAACACCAGUGGCGAAGGCGACUUUCUGGUCUGUAACUGACGCUGAUGUGCGAAAGCGUGGGGAUCAAACAGGAUUAGAUACCCUGGUAGUCCACGCCGUAAACGAUGAGUGCUAAGUGUUAGGGGGUUUCCGCCCCUUAGUGCUGCAGCUAACGCAUUAAGCACUCCGCCUGGGGAGUACGACCGCAAGGUUGAAACUCAAAGGAAUUGACGGGGACCCGCACAAGCGGUGGAGCAUGUGGUUUAAUUCGAAGCAACGCGAAGAACCUUACCAAAUCUUGACAUCCUUUGACAACUCUAGAGAUAGAGCNUUCCCCUUCGGGGGACAAAGUGACAGGUGGUGCAUGGUUGUCGUCAGCUCGUGUCGUGAGAUGUUGGGUUAAGUCCCGCAACGAGCGCAACCCUUAAGCUUAGUUGCCAUCAUUAAGUUGGGCACUCUAAGUUGACUGCCGGUGACAAACCGGAGGAAGGUGGGGAUGACGUCAAAUCAUCAUGCCCCUUAUGAUUUGGGCUACACACGUGCUACAAUGGACAAUACAAAGGGCAGCGAAACCGCGAGGUCAAGCAAAUCCCAUAAAGUUGUUCUCAGUUCGGAUUGUAGUCUGCAACUCGACUACAUGAAGCUGGAAUCGCUAGUAAUCGUAGAUCAGCAUGCUACGGUGAAUACGUUCCCGGGUCUUGUACACACCGCCCGUCACACCACGAGAGUUUGUAACACCCGAAGCCGGUGGAGUAACCUUUUAGGAGCUAGCCGUCGAAGGUGGGACAAAUGAUUGGGGUGAAG
rnacentral:rRNA from 3 species